GGCUGCAAGACCCUCCAGGCUGACAAUGGCCCAGAUUCCAUGAAUGUUGUAUGAGCUGCAGAGCUAGCUACGCUGUCUGUCCUUGAGCAAGAUUUAUGAUCUCGUGCAGCAUGGGUUACUGCCAGUUCAUGGCUUGUACAUUCUGGCAGUUCUGAGCUGGCUCACUCUAGAAGGAAGAAACAGUUUGACAUGAAAAAAAUUUACCUGAUCUGAGCACCUGCUUAUGUCUGCUUGUUUGUGCACACACCAGAAGACUCGAUCACAGCAGACUGGAGAGAGAUUCACCUGGUGGCUUUGAGCAAGGACAUGAAGGUGGUCUUAAGUUGAUGAGAACAACCCCCAGCUGACAGCCAGCAAGAAAACAGACCUACAGCCACAAGGAGCUGACCUCUUCCAGUAACCAGAGUGCAGGUUUGAAAUGGUUUUUCCCCAGGAGCCUGCAGACAAGAAUUCAGACUGGCUGACACCUUGAUUUCAGCCUGUUGAGACCCUUAGCAGAAGACCCAGUGAAGCCAUACCCAGACCUUUGACCCACAG
rnacentral:lncRNA from 1 species